CUGCAAAAACCCAGCUGUUGUCUUCUCUCUGACUGCAAACUCAUUCACUUCAUGCAAUAACACACUAUCAACCCAAUGGGCUUCAACCAAUUAAACCAUAGCACGAUGAGACCGAUCUAUUGGUUGGGUUUGGACUACGGGCAGCGAUCAAAGCCAUGCACGUGUAAAACAACCCCCUCCACCCAUCAUGUGCUGAGCCCCUUACCUGUCUGCUCUUUCUCCAGCAGAUUAAACAACACAAACACAAACUAAAGUCCCAAUCAACCAGGAGGACGAUCCCGUCAAACUGCUAGGUGACCGUGUGGCUGCCAGUCAUGACAUGGCCAACGGGCGCUUGCUGCUGUGGAAGAGGCGUUCAGGGUGUCCUGGCCGACGGAAUGAUGACAAAGUUCAUCCAAGAACUGGAGACAGGAAACUUGCGACCGGUGCCAGCGAGUCGUCUAUGGAAACAUAAAACUCAGAGAGAGACAGACACAUGGAGAGAGUGAUGGGUUAAUGCAGUCUGACAGAGGACCGCUGCUGAUCACCAGCACUGAUGUACUAGCUCUACUACCACAAUGAACCAUGAAUAAAGAAAGAAGAAAACGUUUUAAACCAAA